rnacentral:misc_RNA from 1 species
UUAAGUUCAGCGGGUAACCUCUCUGACCUGAAGUCAAUGGAUAGUUCUUGUGGCAGCUGCCCACCGGGGGUCCGAUAAAGAUGUUCAUCGUAUCGGCCCACGGCGGCCUCCGCCGACGGUUUACAGGGGCGGCGCAGGCCACCCCCAUCACCAGGCUAGGCCUGAGGUUAUAAUGACGUUCAGACAGACGUGCCCUACGG